rnacentral:rRNA from 1 species
AACGAACGCUGGCGGCAUGCCUAACACAUGCAAGUCGAACGAAACCUUCGGGUCUAGUGGCGCACGGGUGCGUAACGCGUGGGAACCUGCCCUUAGGUUCGGAAUAACUCCCCGAAAGGGGUGCUAAUACCGGAUAAUGUCUUCGGACCAAAGAUUUAUCGCCUUUGGAUGGGCCCGCGUUGGAUUAGCUAGUUGGUAGGGUAAAGGCCUACCAAGGCGACGAUCCAUAGCUGGUCUGAGAGGAUGACCAGCCACACUGGGACUGAGACACGGCCCAGACUCCUACGGGAGGCAGCAGUGGGGAAUAUUGGACAAUGGGCGAAAGCCUGAUCCAGCAAUGCCGCGUGAGUGAUGAAGGCCUUAGGGUUGUAAAGCUCUUUUACCCGGGAUGAUAAUGACGGUACCGGGAGAAUAAGCUCCGGCUAACUCCGUG